AUAACGAUCAUACUCAGUAAUCAGACUGCUGGCAUUCCGGAGAAUGUUGACAUCACUCUUAAGGAAGGCCUAGUUAUUUUGAAGGGGCCCUGAGAAACUCUGUUGAGGGACUUUAAUUAUGUGAAUAUAGAACUCGGUCUCUUUGGUGGAUGGGGGGAAGAAAGGUAGAGGCUCCAGCUUGACAAAUGGCAGGGAAAUAGAAAGAAACUGGCUACAGUGCACACUAUCUGUGGCCAUCCACAGAGCUUGAUCAACGUGUUACAGUGAGCUUCCAUUACAAGAAGAGAUCUGUGCAUGCUUACUUUCCCAUCAAUGUCAUUUUUCAGGAGAAUGGGUCUCUUGUUGAAAUUCAAAAUUUCUUAGUGAAAAAUGCAUCCACAAGGUUCAGGUGAGGCUGGGUGUUGCUUGUUUAAUAUCUCAAACCCAGAAAAAUGAGUUAAUUCUGGAAGAAAAUGACAUUGAACUUAUAUCAAAGUCUGUUGCUUUGAUUCAGCAAGCCACAACAGUUAAAAACAGAAAUCAGGAAAAUUGUGGAUGGUAUCUACAUCUUUGAAAAAGGAACAGUUUAGCCCCCUGAGAAGUA
rnacentral:lncRNA from 1 species